rnacentral:rRNA from 1 species
UACGUAGGGUGCGAGCGUUGUCCGGAAUUACUGGGCGUAAAGAGCUCGUAGGCGGUUUGUCGCGUCGAAUGUGAAAACUCGGGGCUCAACUCCGAGCUUGCAUUCGAUACGGGCAGGCUAGAGUUCGGUAGGGGAGACUGGAAUUCCUGGUGUAGCGGUGAAAUGCGCAGAUAUCAGGAGGAACACCGGUGGCGAAGGCGGGUCUCUGGGCCGAUACUGACGCUGAGGAGCGAAAGCGUGGGGAGCGAACAGG